rnacentral:pre_miRNA from 1 species
CGUAUGUAUGUAUGUUUGUAUAUAUGUAUGUGUGUGUGUAUAUAUAUGCACAUAUACAUAUAUACAUUCAUACAUGCAUGCA